UAGCCGACGAGAUACUCAAAAAGAACAGGGAGCUAUUCGCAAUGACCGACUCCAGAGGCGGUAAUGUAUUCCAUUUAGCAGCUCACACGAAUCAGUCCCAAGUAUUCGAACUCUUACGGCCAGAAACUGAAUAUUUGGCCCGACAAAAGGAUGGGAAUGGGGAUAUUCCCAUUCAUAUUGCGAGCAAGAUGGGUCAUGUUGAACUAAUCAAGAAGCUACAUCCGGUAUCUCCUUUGCAAAACGAGAGAGGACAAACUGUUCUUCAUGUCGCAGCAAAAUAUGGGAGAGCUUCAACAGUAAGAUAUAUACUCGGACAUCUUGAGCUGGGGAAGCUGAUAAAUAAAAGAGAUACUGGUGGAAAUACGGCUUUGCACUUGGCCGCUAUGCAUUCACAACCCGCUGCUUUGAUUCAUCUUCUGCUGGAUGAA